AUGGUCGAGAGUUUUGUAGCGCCACAAAAUGUUAUUGAACUUCCAGACGAUGAUGACCAUGAGCAUGUGCCACAGAAGAAUGCAGGGAGAAGGGAUAGGACUUUGAGCAAGAAGGUGCCUGCCAGCAAAGUGUCUCACUCGACUUCAGUGCCAGAACCAGUCAUUCAGCAUUUCGGAGAUCCAGUUCGAACUUCUAUUUCUUUAUCUAAUCCUGUGUCGACUGAUCAAGCCCUUGCUCCGAUGUUGCAACUCCAUGCUUUAGAUCCCCUGGCUGCCUUGUCUGUUCCACCAACUCCGCUUUUCUCACCCAUCAUGUCCCAGAGGACCAGGUAG
rnacentral:rRNA from 1 species